rnacentral:rRNA from 1 species
CCUACGGGGGGCAGCAGUGGGGAAUAUUGGGCAAUGGGCGCAAGCCUGACCCAGCAACGCCGCGUGAAGGAAGAAGGCUCUCGGGUUGUAAACUUCUUUUGACAGGGAAGAGUAGAAGACGGUACCUGUCGAAUAAGCCACGGCUAACUACGUGCCAGCAGCCGCAGUAAUACGUAGGUGGCAAGCGUUGUCCGGAUUUACUGGGUGUAAAGGGCGUGUAGCCGGGUUGACAAGUCAGAUGUGAAAUCCUGCGGCUUAACCGCAGAACUGCAUUUGAAACUGUUGAUCUUGAGUACUGGAGAGGCAGACGGAAUUCCUAGUGUAGCGGUGAAAUGCGUAGAUAUAAGGAAGAACACCAGUGGCGAAGGCGGAUUACUGGACGAUAACUGACGGUGAGGCGCGAAGGCGUGGGGAGCGAACAGGAUUAGAUACCCCUGUAGUC